UUAGAGUUUGAUCCUGGCUCAGGACGAACGCUGGCGGCGUGCCUAAUACAUGCAAGUCGAGCGGACCGRAUKRGGGCUUGCUCUKUGAUUCGGUCAGCGGCGGACGGGUGAGUAACACGUGGGCAACCUGCCCGCAAGACCGGGAUAACUCCGGGAAACCGGAGCUAAUACCGGAUAACACCGAAGACCGCAUGGUCUUCGGUUGAAAGGCGGCCUUUGGGCUGUCACUUGCGGAUGGGCCCGCGGCGCAUUAGCUAGUUGGUGAGGUAACGGCUCACCAAGGCGACGAUGCGUAGCCGGCCUGAGAGGGUGACCGGCCACACUGGGACUGAGACACGGCCCAGACUCCUACGGGAGGCAGCAGUAGGGAAUCUUCCGCAAUGGGCGAAAGCCUGACGGAGCGACGCCGCGUGAGCGAAGAAGGCCUUCGGGUCGUAAAGCUCUGUUGUGAGGGACGAAGGAGCGCCGUUCGAAGAGGGCGGCGCGGUGACGGUACCUCACGAGAAAGCCCCGGCUAACUACGUGCCAGCAGCCGCGGUAAUACGUAGGGGGCGAGCGUUGUCCGGAAUUAUUGGGCGUAAAAAGCGCGCGCAGGCGGUCUCUUAAGUCUGAUGUGAAAGCCCACGGCUCAACCGUGGAGGGUCAUUGGAAACUGGGGGACUUGAGGGCAGGAGAGGAGAGCGGAAUUCCACGUGUAGCGGUGAAAUGCGUAGAGAUGUGGAGGAACACCAGUGGCGAAGGCGGCUCUCUGGCCUGCACCUGACGCUGAGGCG
rnacentral:rRNA from 1 species